rnacentral:rRNA from 1 species
UUUGAAGAGAGAGUUCAAGAGUACGUGAAACUGCUGAGAGGCAAACUGGUGGGCCCUCRAAAUCCCGCAUGCGGGGAGAUUCAGUCGGGUGUCGGCGGCCGUCUCCCACGAGUUUGUUGCAACCGAAGAUCGGGGCACAUUCUAGGAGGCGCGUUCGUCAGAACCCGACGCAUUUCUCGCCCGCACGAAAGGACGCCGCAGCCGGUCGGGUAGCUGCGCGUGUCGGCCAUGAGGACGUGGCAGCGGCAGGUGACCGGCGGCCCUAGGCCUCUUUCGGAGGCACUAACGGUCGACGGUUGAUUAGCCGGCUCGUCCGUGGCGCGACACCCGACCGAGGUCGAGAAGAGAAUUCCGUGGAGGAAUCCCGGAAUGAAUCCACUACUUUCUAACUKGAGAGCGAGCCGUCGGACAGGCGCGUUCCUGCGUGGUCGGGCAGUCACCGMACUGGUCGAUCUGGUGGGAGCGCGUCGCUGGUUUCCGAGUCAGGAUCUCGCGGAGGAUGGAAGGCUGGCGGCGAGUAGGUCGGUAACCCACCCGACCCGUCUUGAAACACGGACCAAGGAGUCUAACAUGUGCGCGAGUCGCAGGGUCUUGAAUAGGCCCACAGGCGAAAUGAAAGUGAAGGCCGCCGCUUCCKAGCUCCUUUUCGGGGGGCGARGGAGUGGCGCGGCCCGGUCGGGACUCGCACGUGACACGGCACGUGACGAAGCACCGACGACCCGCCCUGGUUCUAUCUCCGAUAGGAACUCAAACGGAGUUCGAGCGCACACGUUGGGACCCGAAAGAUGGUGAACUAUGCCUGGGCAGGACGAAGCCAGAGGAAACUCUGGUGGAGGUYCGCAGCGGUUCU